rfam:Synechococcus sp. GFB01 Contig46, whole genome shotgun sequence.
CCUAUAGUGCCGCCAGCGGUCCCCUAUCUGGGGCCCCAAGCUCCAGCUGCGGCAAUGGGUUUCGCGAUUCCGUGAUGCCUGCUUCAGCUGGUGCCCAUGGCGGCGAAAGCCGGCAUGGGGCCCACCGGUGGAGGCGAUGCGGCUGCUCAGCGGCCCCAGCGACCCGCCGACAGGGGUGGACCUCCACCUCGAUCCCGUCCCUCGAGGAACGUCUCGAUGA